rnacentral:rRNA from 1 species
UACGAAGGGGGCUAGGCGUUGCUCGGAAUUACUGGGCGUAAAGGGCGCGAGUAGGCGGACAGUUUAGUCAGAGGUGAAAGCCCAGGGCUCAACCUUGGAAUAGCCUUUGAUACUGGCUGUCUUGAGUUCGGGAGAGGUGAGUGGAAUGCCGAGUGUAGAGGUGAAAUUCGUAAGAUAUUCGGCGGAACACCAGUGCGAAGGCGGAACUCACUGGCCCGAGUACCUGACGCUGACG